CUAAGGUGGCAAUUCACUUUCUGCAAAGGGAGCUCAGCUCGGGGGUCCGGAAGCAGAAGCAUCCAGCAGCACAGGAGCUGCUGGGACACUUGGUGUUGAGAGUCAUUCUGCUGCAAGUGAAGGUUUUGGCCAAAUUGCACCAGACAUCCUUGAAAGCCGAGGCACGUCUAAGCACAAGCUGCUCRUCUCCAAGCCUUCUAUGCUCCAGCACUUCAUGGAACAAUGAUCUGAACCCCCAUC
rnacentral:lncRNA from 1 species